GGUUCCAUGGUGUAAUGGUUAGCAAUCUGUACUCGGCUUCCAGCGAUCCGAGUUCAAAUCUCGGUGGAACCU
rnacentral:tRNA from 1 species